AACAAAACAAAAAAAAACAAAAAACAAAAAAACAAAAAAACUCCCCGAAUCUAAAGGUAUCUACUUUCUCACAGAUUCUCUGAGUUGUUUGUCCUGUUUUCCUUUCUGCCUUACUUAACAUCCCCAUAAUGGACAAAAGAAGCCCUCCCCUACCCACCUACCCCUCCCUCACCCCUGGGGGGGGGCAGGGGGAACCCCAGCUGAAUAAAUCCUACAACAAUCCUGUGUGUGGACCUUUGGAACGAUUUAGAAACACACAGCAAAAGAAACGCCAGUUGUUUAUUCUAGAUCAAGUCAGCAGAUUGUCAGUGCCCAAGGCCAUGCAUGUAAAAAGCUCUUUGGAAGUUAAAUCUGUUUUAUUGUAAUAGCAAGUGUUUUAUCUUUUCCAACCCACUGGCAACUGAAGUGUUUUUCUGCAGUCAGGCCGGGACAGGAGAAUUUGCAGAUAAGUACCCUCUUACCGCACUCUGGAGACUGCUGCUGCCCAGGGACUUGCCGGAAGAGGCUAUUUGGUGGAUUUUGAAUAAGGGCAGCAAAAAGCAAAUGGACAGAGUCCUUUCCUCAACCCAUUUAGGUCGGCAUGAAGUGGAGUUUACAUCCAGGACUCAGACGACCUUUUGGAGAUAGGAUUCAAAUAGAUUAGCUGAUGCAUUGUGGGAAGGUGGCUCUCGUGGCAUAUUAAUCUUACUGGCGUGUGGCUAUGGAAAAGGAAGGAAGUCCUGAUGGAGGAUGGAGACAGAAGUGGGGAACGGAUGUGGAAGGACAUUUUACUCCAUUCCCUUUGUACAAAUAUAAUUAUCUAAUGAUGGACCAUGAAAGUCUGAAUAAAAUAAAAACAACCCGAAAGCCAGAGUCAAGGCAA